AUUGAACGCUGGCGGCAGGCCUAACACAUGCAAGUCGAGCGAGCGGCGGACGGGUGAGUAAUGUCUGGGAAACUGCCUGAUGGAGGGGGAUAACUACUGGAAACGGUAGCUAAUACCGCAUACCAUCAGAUGGGCCCAGAUGGGAUUAGCGAGUAGGUGGGGUAACGGCUCACCUAGGCGACGAUCCCUAGCUGGUCUGAGAGGAUGACCAGCGACACGGGAACAGAGACACGGUCCGACGUCCUACGGGAGGCAGCGGUGGGGAAUAGUGCGCAAUGGGCGCAAGCCUGAUGGAGCCAUGCCGCGUGUGUGAAGAAGGCAUUCGGGUUGUAAAGCACUUUCAGCGGGGAGGCGUUACCCGCAGAAGAAGCACCGGCUAACUCCGUGCCAGCAGCCGCGGUAAUUC
rnacentral:rRNA from 1 species